AAACGACGUUAUGCAUGAACGUAAUGCUCAUAACUUCCCUCUAGACCUAGCUGCUGUCGAAGCUCCAUCUAUAAAUGGAUAAGACUUUGGUCUUAAUGUAUAUGAGUUUUUGAACAUUAAAAGAAAGGAGCAAUAACAAACCUUAAGAAGAAAUUUGUUAUUGCUCCUUUCUUUAAUUUAGUAGUUUUUUCUGAUGUGAGUUUUUUUUUCUUUUUUUUUAGUAUUCUUACGGACUGGUUCAUUAUUCAAUAAUAUAUUUUUUUGUUUUGUAUUAAUUUAUAUAUGUUAUGCUUUAUGUUUUUUCAAUCUUUUAUUAAAAAUAAAGCAAAUAGGGGGSGGAUGUAGCCCMGUGGAUCAAGGC
rnacentral:misc_RNA from 1 species